rnacentral:tRNA from 1 species
AGGGGCAUCGUAUAACGGCUAUUACGAUGGUCUCCAAAACCAUUAAUCGGGGUUCGACUCCUCGUGCCCCUGCCA